rnacentral:rRNA from 1 species
GGUUAAGCGACUAAGCGUACACGGUGGAUGCCCUGGCAGUCAGAGGCGAUGAAGGGCGUGCUAAUCUGCGAUAAGCGCCGGUAAGGUGAUAUGAACCGUUAUAACCGGCGAUACCCGAAUGGGGAAACCCAGUGUGAUUCGUCACACUAUCAUUAACUGAAUCCAUAGGUUAAUGAGGCGAACCGGGGGAACUGAAACAUCUAAGUACCCCGAGGAAAAGAAAUCAACCGAGAUUCCCCCAGUAGCGGCGAGCGAACGGGGAGGAGCCCAGAGCCUGAAUCAGCAUGUGUGUUAGUGGAAGCGUCUGGAAAGGCGCGCGAUACAGGGUGACAGCCCCGUACACAAAAGCGCAUGUGCUGUGAGCUCGAUGAGUAGGGCGGGACACGUGGUAUCCUGUCUGAAUAUGGGGGGACCAUCCUCCAAGGCUAAAUACUCCUGACUGACCGAUAGUGAACCAGUACCGUGAGGGAAAGGCGAAAAGAACCCCGGCGAGGGGAGUGAAAAAGAACCUGAAACCGUGUACGUACAAGCAGUGGGAGCACAGGUUUACCUGUGUGACUGCGUACCUUUUGUAUAAUGGGUCAGCGACUUAUAUUCUGUAGCAAGGUUAACCGAAUAGGGGAGCCGGAGGGAAACCGAGUCUUAACCGGGCGUUAAGUUGCAGGGUAUAGACCCGAAACCCGGUGAUCUAGCCAUGGGCAGGUUGAAGGUUGGGUAACACUAACUGGAGGACCGAACCGACUAAUGUUGAAAAAUUAGCGGAUGACCUGUGGCUGGGGGUGAAAGGCCAAUCAAACCGGGAGAUAGCUGGUUCUCCCCGAAAGCUAUUUAGGUAGCGCCUCGUGAAUUCAUCUCCGGGGGUAGAGCACUGUUUCGGCUAGGGGGCCAUCCCGGCUUACCAACCCGAUGCAAACUGCGAAUACCGGAGAAUGUUAUCACGGGAGACACACGGCGGGUGCUAACGUCCGUCGUGAAGAGGGAAACAACCCAGACCGCCAGCUAAGGUCCCAAAGUCAUGGUUAAGUGGGAAACGAUGUGGGAAGGCCCAGACAGCCAGGAUGUUGGCUUAGAAGCAGCCAUCAUUUAAAGAAAGCGUAAUAGCUCACUGGUCGAGUCGGCCUGCGCGGAAGAUGUAACGGGGCUAAACCAUGCACCGAAGCUGCGGCAGCGAACGUAUCACUUAAAGCGAUUCAGCGGGUUACGAUUGACGGAGCGAAGCGACGUCAAAGCGUAUACAAAGUCGAGUCGGUUUAAGGAUACGUUCGUUGGGUAGGGGAGCGUUCUGUAAGCCUGCGAAGGUGGCCUGUGAGGGUUGCUGGAGGUAUCAGAAGUGCGAAUGCUGACAUAAGUAACGAUAAAGCGGGUGAAAAGCCCGCUCGCCGGAAGACCAAGGGUUCCUGUCCAACGUUAAUCGGGGCAGGGUGAGUCGACCCCUAAGGCGAGGCCGAAAGGCGUAGUCGAUGGGAAACGGGUUAAUAUUCCCGUACUUGGUGUUACUGCGAAGGGGGGACGGAGAAGGCUAUGUUGGCCGGGCGACGGUUGUCCCGGUUUAAGCGUGUAGGUGUGUGUUCCAGGUAAAUCCGGUUCACUUUAACACUGAGGCGUGAUGACGAGGCACUACGGUGCUGAAGUAACAAAUGCCCUGCUUCCAGGAAAAGCCUCUAAGCAUCAGGUAACAUCAAAUCGUACCCCAAACCGACACAGGUGGUCAGGUAGAGAAUACCAAGGCGCUUGAGAGAACUCGGGUGAAGGAACUAGGCAAAAUGGUGCCGUAACUUCGGGAGAAGGCACGCUGACACGUAGGUGAAGUGAUUUACUCACGGAGCUGAAGUCAGUCGAAGAUACCAGCUGGCUGCAACUGUUUAUUAAAAACACAGCACUGUGCAAACACGAAAGUGGACGUAUACGGUGUGACGCCUGCCCGGUGCCGGAAGGUUAAUUGAUGGGGUCAGCGCAAGCGAAGCUCCUGAUCGAAGCCCCGGUAAACGGCGGCCGUAACUAUAACGGUCCUAAGGUAGCGAAAUUCCUUGUCGGGUAAGUUCCGACCUGCACGAAUGGCGUAAUGAUGGCCAGGCUGUCUCCACCCGAGACUCAGUGAAAUUGAACUCGCUGUGAAGAUGCAGUGUACCCGCGGCAAGACGGAAAGACCCCGUGAACCUUUACUAUAGCUUGACACUGAACAUUGAGCCUUGAUGUGUAGGAUAGGUGGGAGGCUUUGAAGUGUGGACGCCAGUCUGCAUGGAGCCGACCUUGAAAUACCACCCUUUAAUGUUUGAUGUUCUAACGUGGACCCGUUACCCGGGUUGCGGACAGUGUCUGGUGGGUAGUUUGACUGGGGCGGUCUCCUCCUAAAGAGUAACGGAGGAGCACGAAGGUUGGCUAAUCCUGGUCGGACAUCAGGAGGUUAGUGCAAUGGCAUAAGCCAGCUUGACUGCGAGCGUGACGGCGCGAGCAGGUGCGAAAGCAGGUCAUAGUGAUCCGGUGGUUCUGAAUGGAAGGGCCAUCGCUCAACGGAUAAAAGGUACUCCGGGGAUAACAGGCUGAUACCGCCCAAGAGUUCAUAUCGACGGCGGUGUUUGGCACCUCGAUGUCGGCUCAUCACAUCCUGGGGCUGAAGCAGGUCCCAAGGGUAUGGCUGUUCGCCAUUUAAAGUGGUACGCGAGCUGGGUUUAGAACGUCGUGAGACAGUUCGGUCCCUAUCUGCCGUGGGCGCUGGAGAACUGAGGGGGCUGCUCCUAGUACGAGAGGACCGGAGUGGACGCAUCACUGGUGUUCGGGUUGUCAUGCCAAUGGCACUGCCCGGUAGCUAAAUGCGGAAGAGAUAAGUGCUGAAAGCAUCUAAGCACGAAACUUGCCCCGAGAUGAGUUCUCCCUGAGACUUAGAGUCUCCUGAAGGAACGUUGAAGACGACGACGUUGAUAGGCCGGGUGUGUAAGCGCAGCGAUGCGUUGAGCUAACCGGUACUAAUGAACCGUGAGGCUUAACCUU